rnacentral:rRNA from 1 species
UACAGAGGGUGCAAGCGUUGCUCGGAAUUAUUGGGCGUAAAGGGUAGGUAGGUGGUCUUAUUUGUCUGGGGUGAAAGCCUUGAGCUUAACUCAAGAAGUGCCCCAGAAACGGUAAGACUAGAGUCUUGGAGAGGGUUGCGGAAUUCCCGGUGUAGCGGUGAAAUGCGUAGAGAUCGGGAGGAACACCAGAGGCGAAGGCGGCAACCUGGACAAGUACUGACACUCAACUACGAAAGCGUGGGGAGCAAACAGG